GAAGCCCGAAAAAGCUAGCAAGAGAACUGGCCUAAAGCUGAGCGACCGCUCCAUGCUCCACCCCACGAGUCACGACUCAUCCACUCAUCCCCUUCUCCGUCUGCGCCCCUCCCUCACCCUCUCGUCCAUGACCUGAAUCCUAAGUGCGCGGCGGCGGCAGAUCCUCUCCUCCGUGGCCCCUCCCCGGCGAAGCAAGCGACGCCACAUCAUUCCUCUUGACAUCAAGUUUUGUCUUUUACGGCAACAUCGGCCAUAGGUUCGCCGCGACUGCCACUGUGGGCACUGAUGGAAGCUAGCUCCACUCUUAGGUAUGCCGCCGCAUCUAUCGUCGUUCUGUCCACCUUCUUCCCUAUCUUCCCUACUUCUACGGUUGCGGAUGCAGAUUUUUGACAUCGAUGACAAAGGAGACGAGAAAAACUCGAGGCCGCGCUUGGAAUCCGUGGUACUAGGGUUCAGUAAAAGAGGAGCACGCGAUGCUGUUAUGGCCAUGUUUACGUAGUUUCUACCGUUUUUAGAAUUGUUGAUUCCUUCGUGCCGCCGCUGGCAAUACGCAACUCAUAUGGCGAGAUCGACACUACAAGUUCCUGGAAUCAAUUUUGCAAGGACAAAAAAAUCAAAUAAAAAUACAUCGCGAAGUUUCAGAAGGAUACAAAGUUGGGAUCAGCUGAGAUAGUGAGAGAGGUGCCCUAGGGGCCCCAGGCGGCGAUCCCAUGAGGUCAACCCAUAGGCCACGAGGUGGGUUCCUGGAGGCACAUCUCCACUGCCUCGCAGAGCAGACGCCUUUAUAUUUCCCCCAGAAUUUAAGUUUUAUUUAUUGAGGAAUAUUCCGUCGCUACCACCUCUCUAUUCCGUGAAGAUCCAAUCUGGAGGCCUUUUUUGGCACUCUCCCGGAGGGGCGAUCCAUCGCUGGAGCCAUCUUCGUAAACCUCGCUGCCACCAUGACCAUGUAUAUAUCAAAGGAGGGAGAUUGCCCGCACCUGGAAAUCUGACCUGAAACAAUGACAACAGAGAUAGCAAUUCUCCGGAGCUCAAAUUGACGUGAAAUUUUACGGAGACUUGGAAUAGAUAAAAAAUACUGAAGCAAAAAUUACGCUAGAGGGGUGAUGCGCCUUGAAACUACGUCGGUAUUUUCCCAAAGAGGAAGGGAUGAUGCAGUACAACUAAGGUAGGUAUUUCCCUCAGUUAUGAAACCAAGGUAUCAAUCUAGUAGGAGAACCAAGAAACACUAUGUAAACGGUACCUGCACACAAAGAACAAAUCCUCGCAACCCAACGCGUAAGAGCGGUUGUCAAUCUCUCAUCGGUAAAAAGAUAGAUUGGUUUGUAUGUGUUUGGAUAAAUAGAUCUGAAUAAAAUGUGAAA